rnacentral:rRNA from 1 species
GACGAACGCUGGCGGCGUGCCUAAUACAUGCAAGUCGAGCGAAGUUUUUCUGGUGCUUGCACCGGAAAAACUUAGCGGCGAACGGGUGAGUAACACGUAAAGAACCUGCCUCAUAGACUGGGACAACUAUUGGAAACGAUAGCUAAUACCGGAUAAUAGCAUUAACUGCAUGGUUGAUGUUUAAAAGUUGGUUUUGCUAACACUAUGAGAUGGCUUUGCGGUGCAUUAGCUAGUUGGUGGGGUAAAGGCCUACCAAGGCGACGAUGCAUAGCCGACCUGAGAGGGUGAUAGGCCACACUGGGACUGGGACACGGCCCAGACUCCUACGGGAGGCAGCAGUAGGGAAUCUUCCGCAAAGGGCGAAAGCCUGACGGAGCAACGCCGCGUGAGUGAAGAAGGAUUUCGGUUCGUAAAGCUCUGUUGUUAGGGAAGAAUGAUUGUGUAGUAACUAUACACAGUAGAGACGGUACCUAACCAGAAAGCCACGGCUAACUACGUG